rnacentral:misc_RNA from 1 species
UAGCAGCAGAUCCACUAA